rnacentral:ncRNA from 1 species
GGUAAAGUAAGAAAGAGCGUAUGGCGGAUGCCUAGGCACAGAGAGGCGAAGAAGGACGCAGCAAACAGCGAAAUGCGACGGUUAGCAGUAAGCAUGCAACGAUCCGUCGAUGUCCGAAUGGGGGAACCCACCUGGAGUAGAGACCAGGUAUCCUGAAGUGAAUAAAUAGCUUCAGAGAGGCGAGACUCAGGGAACUGAAACAUCUAAGUACCUGAAGGAAGAGAAAAUAAACGAAUGAUUCCCUAAGUAGCGGCGAGCGAAAGGGGAAGAGCCCAAACCGAUCUUAGGAUCGGGGUUGUAGGACUGUCGGCAAAGAGCAAGAAAUCAUUAUAGGCGAACGGAAUGGGAAGUCCGGCGAAACAGGGUGACAGCCCCGUAGCCGAAAUAGUGAAGAAGCACGAGACAGCACCUGAGUACGGCGGGACACGAGGAAUCCUGUCGGAAUCCACCAGGACCAUCUGGUAAGGCUAAAUACUCCUCUGUGACCGAUAGUGAACCAGUACCGUGAGGGAAAGG